AAAAAGUUAGUUAAAUUAUAAUAUUAGGUUGUCAGCCUAACGUUACUAACCCUCACUUAGUACUUUUUA
rnacentral:tRNA from 1 species